UGGGGAAUAUUGGACAAUGGGCGAAAGCCUGAUCCAGCAAUGCCGCGUGAGUGAUGAAGGCCUUAGGGUUGUAAAGCUCUUUUACCCGGGAUGAUAAUGACAGUACCGGGAGAAUAAGCUCCGGCUAACUUCGUGCCAGCAGCCGCGGUAAUACGAGGGGAGCUAGCGUUGUUCGGAAUUACUGGGCGUAAAGCGCGCGUAGGCGGUUUUUUAAGUCAGAGGUGAAAGCCCGGGGCUCAACCCCGGAAUAGCCUUUGAAACUGGAAAACUAGAAUCUUGGAGAGGUCAGUGGAAUUCCGAGUGUAGAGGUGAAAUUCGUAGAUAUUCGGAAGAACACCAGUGGCGAAGGCGACUGACUGGACAAGUAUUGACGCUGAGGCGCGAAAAGCGUGGGGAGCAAACAGGAUUAGAUACCCCUGGUAGUCCACGCCGUAAAACGAUGAUAACUAGCUGUCCGGGCUCAUAGAGCUUGGGUGGCGCAGCUAACGCAUUAAGUUAUCCGCCUGGGGAGUACGGUCGCAAGAUUAAAAACUUAAAUGAAUUGACGGGGGUCAUAGCUGUUUCCU
rnacentral:rRNA from 1 species